rnacentral:rRNA from 1 species
CUACGUGCCAGCAGCCGCGGUAAUACGGAGGGUGCGAGCGUUAAUCGGAAUAACUGGGCGUAAAGGGCACGUAGGCGGACCUUUAAGUGAGGUGUGAAAUCCCCGGGCUUAACCUGGGAAUUGCAUUUCAUACUGGGGGUCUGGAGUACUUUAGGGAGGGGUAGAAUUCCACGUGUAGCGGUGAAAUGCGUAGAGAUGUGGAGGAAUACCGAAGGCGAAGGCAGCCCCUUGGGGAUGUACUGACGCUGAUGUGCGAAAGCGUGGGGAGCAAACAGGAUUAGAUACCCUGGUAGUCCACGCUGUAAACGGUGUCGAUUUGGGGAUUGGGGUUUAGCCCUGGUGCCCGAAGCUAACGUGAUAAAUCGACCGCCUGGGGAGUACGGCCGCAAGGUUAAAACUCAAAUGAAUUGACGGGGGCCCGCACAAGCGGUGGAGCAUGUGGUUUAAUUCGAUGCAACGCGAAGAACCUUACCUACUCUU